rnacentral:tRNA from 1 species
GCCCCGGUAGCUCAGCGGAUUAGAGCAAUGGGCUUCUAUCCCACAGGCCGUAGGUUCGAUUCCUACCCGGGGUACCA